rnacentral:rRNA from 1 species
AGAGUUUGAUCCUGGCUCAGAAUCAACGCUGGCGGCGCGCUUAACACAUGCAAGUCGCACGAGAAAGUGGGAAACCAUGAGUACAGUGGCGUACGGGUGAGUAACACGUGGGUAAUCUACCUCUGAGUGGGGAAUAACCCUGGGAAACCGGGGCUAAUACCGCAUAAUCUCGAGAGAGGAAAGCAGCAAUGCGCUGAGAGAGGAGCCCGCGGCCGAUUAGCUAGUUGGUAGGGUAAGAGCCUACCAAGGCAGAGAUCGGUAGCCGGCCUGAGAGGGCACACGGCCACACUGGCACUGAAACACGGGCCAGACUCCUACGGGAGGCAGCAGUGGGGAAUCUUGCACAAUGGGGGAAACCCUGAUGCAGCGACGCCGCGUGAGCGAUGAAGCCCUUCGGGGUGUAAAGCUCUUUCGUCAGGGAAGAUCAUGACGGUACCUGGAGAAGCAGCUGCGGCUAACUACGUGCCAGCAGCCGCGGUAAUACGUAGGCAGCGAGCGUUGUUCGGAGUUACUGGGCGUAAAGGGUGUGUAGGCGGUUCUUUAAGUUUGGUGUGAAAUCUCCCGGCUCAACCGGGAGGGUGCGCCGAAUACUGAGGGACUUGGAGUGCGGGAGAGGAAAGUGGAAUUCCUGGUGUAGCGGUGAAAUGCGUAGAUAUCAGGAGGAACACCGGUGGUGUAGACGGCUUUCUGGACCGUAACUGACGCUGAGACACGAAAGCGUGGGUAGCAAACAGGAUUAGAUACCCUGGUAGUCCACGCCCUAAACGAUGCAUAUUUGGUGUGGGUCAUUCAGUUGAUCCGUGCCGGAGCUAACGCGUUAAAUAUGCCGCCUGGGGAGUACAGUCGCAAGGCUGAAACUCAAAGGAAUUGACGGGGCCCGCACAAGCGGUGGAGCAUGUGGUUCAAUUCGACGCAACGCGAAGAACCUUACCUGGGCUCGAACGGCUGGUCAACGGAAGGUGGAAACAUC